AGCCGGUAGAGUCGAGCUAUGUAGAAGUACAGCGUUUUUCACAAGUUCAGGUAAAGGAUGUCAAUGCCGCUAUCUCCUUGUAAAGAUAUUUUGUAAGUGCCCAUGACGGAAUUUGUGUUUCGCAAUCAAAAUUCACUGAAGUAUCACGUAAUGAACAUAAAUUAGUAUUCCUGAAUACAACAUUGCAUAAAAUUAAUAACGCCGAUUUAUUUAAAA